GAAAGAUCCGCCACCCCAAAACGCUCCACGGUGACAAUGGGGUAAGCUUUGGCCAAUGGGUUGACCCCAAUGGGGUCAGUGGGGCCGAUCCCGAUCCUUAUGGGGUCAGUGGGGUCAACGUUGGCCAAUGGGUCGGUCCUGGGCCUAAUAGGGUCAGUGGGGUUGACUCCGACCCUAAUGGGGUCAGUGGGGUCAGCCCCGACCCCAAUGGGGUCAGUGUUGGCCAAUGGGUCAGUCCUGGCCCUAAUGGGGUCAACCCGGACCCUAAUAGGGUCAGUGGGGUUGACCCCGACCUUAGUGGGGUCAGUGGGGUCAACCCCGGCCCUAAUGGGGUCAAUGGGGUCAACCCCGACCCUAAUGGGGCCAGCAUUGGCCAACGGGUCAACCUUGACCCCAGUGGGACCAGUGGGAUCAACCCCAACCCUAAUAGGAUCAACGGGGCCAACCUUAACCCUAAUAGGGUCAGUAGGGUCGACCUUAACCCUAAUAGGGUCAACCCCUAUAGGGCCGGCGCUCCUUUUGUCCCUUUUCUUCCCUUUUGGCCCCAAAUCCACGGGUAGGAAUUCGACCUUCAGCUCUUCGUCCCCAUUGUCGUCUUUUAGGAUCGGGAGUUUAUGGGGUGGCGGGGAGUCGGCAUCUAUGGGGUCGGAUGUCACCUCCUCUAUGGGGUCGGCGCUGCUGUGGGGUGGAGCGAAGCCGCGGGCGGAUAGAAGCAAUGGGGUGGCGAUGUGGGAUAUGGGGCCGUUGGAUAUGGGGCCGUCCGCUGUAGGGUCGUCGGUGUCGGGAUCCCAAAUUCGGGGGAGGUCGCGCAGAUCGGGAGCGGCUGUAGGGGGGGAAAACCCCAUAAAGGGUCAUCAGGGCAACCCCAAGACCCCAUAGAUCCCAAAUGGGGUUAAUGGGGUCGGGAGGAACCCCAAAGAGCCCAAAUGGGGGCUAUAGGAUCAUAAGAGACCCCAUAGAUCCCAAAUAGGGUUAAUGGGGUUGGGAGGAACCCCAAAGAGCCCAAAUGGAGGCUAUAGGAUCAUAGGAGACCCCAAAGAUCCCAAGUGGGGUUAAUGGGGUCAGGAGGAACCCCAAAGAUCCCAAAUAGGGGCUAUAGGAUCAUAGGAGACCCCAAAGAUCCCAAAUGGGGUUAAUGGGGUUGGGAGGAACCCCAAAGAGCCCAAAUGGGGGUUAUAGGAUCAUAGGAGACCCCAUAGAUCCCAAAUAGGGUUAAUGGGGUUGGAAGGAAACCCCAAAGAGCCCAAAUGGGGUUUAUAGGACCACAGAAACCCCCGAAGAACCCAAAUGGGAUUUAUAGGAUCAUAGGAGCCCACAAAGUCCCCAAAUGGGGGUUUAUAGGACUGUAGGGUCCCCCAAAGAACCCAAAUGGGGUUUAUAGGAUCAUGGGAGCCCCCAGAAACCCCAAAUGGGGUCUAUAGGAUCAUAGGAAAUCCCCAAAGACCCCAAAUGGUGUUUAUAGGACUACAGGAGCCCCCAAAGACCCGAAAUGGGGUUUAUAGGAUCACGGGAGCCUAUAAAUGGGGUUUUAAUGACUGUAGGGUCCCCCAAAGACCCCAAAUAGGGUUUAUAGGAUCAUAGGAGCCCCAAAGACGGUUUAUAGGAUUGUGGGAGUCCCCAAAGACCCCAAAUGGGGUUUAUAGGAUCAUGGGAGCCUACAAAUGGGGUUUAUAGGGCCAUAGAGGUCCCCCAUAGACCCCAAAUGGGGUUUAUAGGAUCAUAGGAGCCCCAAAUAGGGUUAAUAGGAUCACGGGAGCCCCAAAUAGGGUUUAUAGGAUCAUGAGAGCCCCCAAAGACCCCAAAUGGGGUUUAUAGGAUCAUGAGAACCCCCAAAGACCCCAAAUGGGGUUUAUAGGAGCCCCCAAAGAAAGACCCCAAAUCCACCCCAAUCCCCCCCAAUAAAACUCCAUAUCCCCCCCCCCCCGACCCCAUAAACUGCCGCCCCCCCCGACCCCAUAACCCACCUGUAGGGCCGCAGAGGAGCAAUAGGGCCAAGGCGCCCCACAGGCGCUGCCCCAUUGCGGGGGUCGGUUGGUAUUAUGGGAUGGCAAUGGGGUGCGGGGGAACCUUUGACCCCAUAAAGGGGGUGGGGUGGAAACCUGAGCCCAACCGACCCCAAAGACGAUCCCAUUGCCGUUGAGGAUCGCCAACGGCUGCCCUGAAGGGGUGGGGGGGUUCCUCGUGAAAACGUGCAAUCCGCGUGCAAAUCCUCGUGCAAACGUGCAACCACAGCCCGCCAUAACUUCAGUCCUCGUGCAACCCCUCGUGCAAACCACCCC
ensembl:lncRNA